UUUACUCCCAUACAAACUUCGGUUGCGGAAAAUUACCGCCGUUGUCUUGCUUGCUCGUAUUUCUCCGUGUGUCUUCUUCCUUCUCGAGAUUUCGGCACUGUGCGGAGAAAUCAGAACUCGUCGUUGAUCCAGAUUUUUGCGUUCUUGGAGGGGAGGCUAGGGCGAAUGGCAAAGUCUUGCAAGGGCCUAGCAACGGAAUUGGUCAAAUGUCUUAGUGAGUGUGACUGCGUUAAGGUUGAGAAGCGGUCAUUUAGGGAGUGUGCUGGGGAAAAGAGUCCAUCAAUAUCAAGCGAAUGCAUUGGUCUGAGGGAAACGUACUUCAAUUGCAAAAGAGGGCAGGUUGACAUGAGGGCCAGGAUCCGGGGGAAUAAAGGCUAUUGAGCAAUGGCUUGUGGGUUCGGAAUAGCGAAUACAUUGACGAGUGGUGGUGUCACAGCAGAGGGGACCAUUCUUCAAUUUUUGAGUGAAUGGUUUCACCAUCAACGACCAACUCUGGAGGCAUAUACAUCAUCUAGCAACAUCAGGGUUUGUAACCUAUUUUUUAGUCAAAUGUUUAGAUUCACAAUUCGAUUUCGUUCACUUUGAGCCGCAAGCCUCAAGCCUCUCGAUUUCUGUCAAAUUCCCAAUCUCAAUGGAAUCCUACGUCACCCCAAACUCGUAGAUGUUUUGGCUUCAUCGAUCAAUCUUUCCUGAAGGACAAUUUCAACCUUGCUUGUGCUUUUGUUUAA